rnacentral:rRNA from 1 species
UGUCUUCGAGUCGUUGAUUUCACACUGCCGAGAAAAGCCUCUAGAUAGAAAAUAGGUGCCCGUACCGCAAACCGACACAGGUAGUCAAGAUGAGAAUUCUAAGGUGAGCGAGCGAACUCUCGUUAAGGAACUCGGCAAAAUGACCCCGUAACUUCGGGAGAAGGGGUGCUCUUUAGGGUUAACGCCCAGAAGAGCCGCAGUGAAUAGGCCCAAGCGACUGUUUAUCAAAAACACAGGUCUCUGCUAAACCGUAAGGUGAUGUAUAGGGGCUGACGCCUGCCCGGUGCUGGAAGGUUAAGAGGAGUGGUUAGCUUCUGCGAAGCUACGAAUCGAAGCCCCAGUAAACGGCGGCCGUAACUAUAACGGUCCUAAGGUAGCGAAAUUCCUUGUCGGGUAAGUUCCGACCCGCACGAAAGGCGUAACGAUUUGGGCACUGUCUCAACGAGAGACUCGGUGAAAUCAUAGUACCUGUGAAGAUGCAGGUUACCCGCGACAGGACGGAAAGACCCCGUGGAGCUUUACUGUAGCCUGAUAUUGAAAUUCGGCACAGCUUGUACAGGAUAGGUAGGAGCCUUUGAAACGUGAGCGCUAGCUUACGUGGAGGCGCUGGUGGGAUACUACCCUAGCUGUGUU